ensembl:snoRNA small nucleolar RNA, C/D box 4B
GGUGCAAAUGAUGAAUCUGUUAGCGACCAAAGCCUGACUUUGCCUGAUUAGUCAUACAUGACUGACUGCACC